AAGAAAAACACUUCCUGUUCAGUUUACAUUACGGCUUAAACUACGAUGUGGCAUGCAUAACAAUGAGUCAGAAAAUGUGGUGUUGGCUAAGGUGCAACGCUGCGAAGAAAGUUUUAUCGGGACCUUUGUAAAAAGAGGAAGUUUGCCUGCUUUUACAGGAAGUGCCGGAGACCAAUUAUCCAGAAGUGUGACGCUGUCAGAAAUCUCCGGGUUUUGUCAAGUCUUCUGACACCCUGCCAGUGUUGUUCUCUGGGAAAUGGAACUGUUGAGGGUUUUUUUCUUCCCCCCCACCCCCAAAAAAAACCGGGAUGGAAAAAAAAAAUCACUGCAUCCGAGAGUGCGGUGUGCACAGGAAACAUUGUUGCUGAGAAGAAUCCCUCCCUCCUUCCCUCUACACCCGCAUCACCACCACCACCUAUUAAAACGUAUCUUUCUUUAAUCAAUUGUUAAAUGUCAUAGACAAUCAUCAUUUAACACUGUCUUCCUGUGUGAUUCUUUUUAAUCUGGCUGUAAAUAGGGCAGCCCUGUCUAUCACUUCAGUUUUCCGCCGUACACAAGAGACUUAAGGUGUUUCAACAAUAGCUCAUGAAGAAAAAAAAACAGGCAAAGGAAAAAAAACAAAAAAAACAAAGAAGCACUUUUUUUUUCUCCCUCCUCAUCUCAAAUCCCCGCAGAGAACACCAAAGGUAUGAAAAGUGAAGAAAGGAGGAAAUAAAUCCAGGCGAUGAUGAAUAAUUUGAAUGUAGAAAUGAAGCUGUUUCAGGAGUGAGUGAGAUACCGCACAAGGAGCAGCCAUGGGGAGCGUACAAUUAGGUCACCCAAAAUAAAACGCUAUCCUCCAGAAAGUCUUUCUUGGAGUUGUCAAAUUCAAUAUAUUUCACUGCCAACAGAAUUCUUGAUUUGGCUGUGAAGUGAGAGGGCGAAAGAAAGGAAAUGGAGGCCUAUUUGAGAGAGACAGCUCAGGACCGCAUACAUUUCAUAAUUUAUGUAAAAAACGGGGGCUUUUCAUUUAGAGUCAGGCUGUCCUCUUAGGAGGGACAACAACAAGAACCUUAUUGUCAAGCAUGUGCCGAGAAGCGUGACGUGCCUUUGCAAGGAUACCUGGUGCUCCUCUGAUUUUUUUAUGAAAGCACGCUGACAUUGUUUGCUCUCAGAGGCUUUAUAUUAGAUUUAAUGACACUCACAGAAGAGCCCGAGCCAUUGCGCACACAUGUGUCCGCCUCGUGUACCGGAGCAUGGCAACAAAACUUUGGGGUGGCGGAAAGUUUACGAAGCAUCAAUACAGUGACAAAAGUCAACAAACAACCCCAGCCAGCCAGCAUCUCUCUCCCUCGCUCCGCUCUCUCUCCGUCUACCCCCACGACACCCAACAGGAAGGUGAGGCUUCUCCGGAGAGCACGAUACGGCACGUCUCCAG
ensembl:lncRNA